rnacentral:rRNA from 1 species
GGGUCAGUAGGUUGGUCGUGCCACCGGUACGUACUGGUCUCACUGAUUCCUCCUUCCUGAAGAACCGUAAUGCCAUUAAUUUGGUGUUGCGGGGAGACAGGACUGUUACUUUGAAAAAAUUAGAGUGUUUAACGCAAGCUAACGCUUGAAUACAUUAGCAUGGAAUAAUGAAAUAGGACGAUCGAUCCUAUUUUGUUGGUUUCUAGGAUUGACGUA